rnacentral:rRNA from 1 species
UACAGAGGGGGCAAGCGUUAUUCGGAAUUAUUGGGCGUAAAGGGCGCGUAGGCGGCUUGGCAAGUGGAAGGUGAAAUCCCUCGGCUUAACCGAGGAACUGCCCUCCAAACUGCUUCGCUUGAGACCGGGAGAGGUGAGUGGAAUUCCCAGUGUAGCGGUGAAAUGCGUAGAUAUUGGGAGGAACACCAGUGGCGAAGGCGGCUCACUGGACCGGAACUGACGCUGAGGCGCGAAAGCGUGGGGAGCAAACGGG